GUGAGGAAUAUUGGUCAAUGGGCGGGAGCCUGAACCAGCCAAGCCGCGUGAGGGAAGACGGCCCUACGGGUUGUAAACCUCUUUUGCCGGGGAACAAAAGCGGCCACGUGUGGCCGCCUGCGUGUACCCGGAGAAAAAGCAUCGGCUAACUCCGUGCCAGCAGCCGCGGUAAUACGGAGGAUGCGAGCGUUAUCCGGAUUUAUUGGGUUUAAAGGGUGCGUAGGCGGCGGAUUAAGUCAGCGGUAAAAUAGCGGGGCUCAACCCCGUCGAGCCGUUGAAACUGGUUUGCUCGAGAUGGAGAGAAGCACGCGGAAUGCGCGGUGUAGCGGUGAAAUGCAUAGAUAUCGCGCAGAACUCCGAUUGCGAAGGCAGCGUGCCGGCUCCUUUCUGACGCUGAGGCACGAAAGCGUGGGUAUCGAACAGG
rnacentral:rRNA from 1 species